rnacentral:rRNA from 1 species
CUACGGGUGGCAGCAGUGGGGAAUCUUAGACAAUGGGGGAAACCCUGAUCUAGCCAUGCCGCGUGAUCGAUGAAGGCCUUAGGGUUGUAAAGAUCUUUCAGGUGGGAAGAUAAUGACUGUACCACCAGAAGAAGCCCCGGCUAACUCCGUGCCAGCAGCCGCGGUAAUACGGAGGGGGCUAACGUUAUUCGGAAUUACUGGGCGUAAAGCGCACGUAGGCGGACUGGAAAGUCAGAGGUGAAAUCCCAGGGCUCAACCUUGGAACUGCCUUUGAAACUCUCAGUCUUGAGGUCGAGAGAGGUGAGUGGAAUUCCGAGUGUAGAGGUGAAAUUCGUAGAUAUUCGGAGGAACACCAGUGGCGAAGGCGGCUCACUGGCUCGAUACUGACGCUGAGGUGCGAAAGCGUGGGGAGCAAACAGGAUUAGAUACCCCGGUAGUC